rnacentral:rRNA from 1 species
AGCGAACGCUGGCGGCAGGCCUAACACAUGCAAGUCGAACGCGUGUAGCAAUACACGAGUGGCAGACGGGUGAGUAACACGUGGGAACGUGCCCUUCGGUUCGGAAUAACUCAGGGAAACUUGAGCUAAUACCGGAUACGCCCUUACGGGGAAAGAUUUAUCGCCGAUGGAUCGGCCCGCGUCUGAUUAGCUAGUUGGUGAGGUAACGGCUCACCAAGGCGACGAUCAGUAGCUGGUCUGAGAGGAUGAUCAGCCACACUGGGACUGAGACACGGCCCAGACUCCUACGGGAGGCAGCAGUGGGGAAUAUUGGACAAUGGGCGAAAGCCUGAUCCAGCCAUGCCGCGUGAGUGAUGAAGGCCCUAGGGUUGUAAAGCUCUUUCGGCGGGGACGAUAAUGACGGUACCCGCAGAAGAAGCCCCGGCUAACUUCGUGCCAGCCGCCGCCGUAAAAC